AGUCCAGAAAAUUACAAACCCAGCCUGCAAAUAUGGAGUGCCUUUAACUGUGAGGAAGGUUGGAGGUGGAGCCAAAAAGCCACCAGAGAGGAAAGCAGCUGUAAAACACAAACCGGCCCCUCUCCCAGCAGCUCCUCAGAGAAGACUCAGCCAAGUGGAGGAGGAAAGAAAAAAGCACAAGGAGGGCAUCAAAAAGAAAAGGAUGGAGCUGAU